GUGGGGAAUAUUGCACAAUGGGCGAAAGCCUGAUGCAGCAACGCCGCGUGAGGGACGACGGCCUUCGGGUUGUAAACCUCUUUUAGUAGGGAAGAAGCGAAAGUGACGGUACCUGCAGAAAAAGCACCGGCUAACUACGUGCCAGCAGCCGCGGUAAUACGUAGGGUGCAAGCGUUAUCCGGAAUUAUUGGGCGUAAAGAGCUCGUAGGCGGUCUGUCGCGUCAGCUGUGAAAACUGGAGGCUCAACCUCCAGCCUGCAGUGGGUACGGGCAGACUAGAGUGCGGUAGGGGAGAGUGGAAUUCCUGGUGUAGCGGUGGAAUGCGCAGAUAUCAGGAGGAACACCGAUGGCGAAGGCAGAUCUCUGGGCCGUAACUGACGCUGAGGAGCGAAAGCGUGGGGAGCGAACAGGAUUAGAUACCCCAGUAGUCC
rnacentral:rRNA from 1 species